AGCAGCCGCGGUAAUUCCAGCUCCAAUAGCGUAUAUUAAAGUUGUUGCAGUUAAAAAGCUCGUAGUUGAAUUUCGGGGUCAGUAGGCUGGUCGUGCCACGGGUAUGUACUGGUCUCACUGAUUCCUCCUUCCUGAUGAACCGUAAUGCCAUUAAUUUGGUGUUGCGGGGAAUCUGGACUGUUACUUUGAAAAAAUUAGAGUGUUUAAAGCAGGCUAACGCUUGAAUACAUUAGCAUGGAAUAAUGAAAUAGGACGAUCGAUCCUAUUUUGUUGGUUUCUAGGAUUGACGUAAUGAUUAAUAGGGAUAGUUGGGGGCAUUAGUAUUCAAUUGUCAGAGGUGAAAUUCUUGGAUUUAUUGAAGACUAACUACUGCGAAAGCAUUUGCCAAGGAUGUUUUCAUUAAUCAAGAACGAAAGUUAGGGGAUCGAAGACGAUCAGAUACCGUCGUAGUCUUAACCAUAAACUAUGCCGACUAGGGAUCGGAUGAUGUUAAUUUUUUAAUGACUCAUUCGGCGCCUUA
rnacentral:rRNA from 1 species